rnacentral:rRNA from 1 species
GUCGAGCGAGAAAAGGGGAGCAAUCCUCUGAGUACAGCGGCGCACGGGUGAGUAACACGUGGGUAAUCUGCCCUGGAGUGGGGAAUAACACCGGGAAACCGGUGCUAAUACCGCAUACGAUAACGGAGUCUGCGGAUUUCGUUAUGAAAGGAGCAAUUCGCUCUAGGAGGAGCCCGCGGCUGAUUAGCUAGUUGGCGAGGUAAUGGCUCACCAAGGCUUCGAUCAGUAUCCGGUCUGAGAGGACGGUCGGACACACUGGAACUGAGACACGGUCCAGACUCCUACGGGAGGCAGCAGUGGGGAAUUUUUGGCAAUGGGGGAAACCCUGACCAAGCAACGCCGCGUGGGUGAUGAAGUAUCUCGGUACGUAAAACCCUUUCGACGGGGAAGAAAGCCGCAAGGCUUGACGGUACCCGUAGAAGAAGCCCCGGCUAACUCCGUGCCAGCAGCCGCGGUAAUACGGGGGGGGCAAGCGUUGUUCGGAAUUACUGGGCGUAAAGGGUGCGUAGGCGGUUCGCUAAGUUGGAUGUGAAAACUCUGGGCUCAACCCAGAGCCUGCAUCCAAUACUGACGAGCUAGAGUUCUGGAGGGGAUAGCGGAAUUCCUGGUGUAGCGGUGAAAUGCGUAGAUAUCAGGAGGAACACCGGUGGCGAAGGCGGCUAUCUGGACAGAGUCUGACGCUGAGGCACGAAAGCUAGGGGAGCAAACAGGAUUAGAUACCCUGGUAGUCCUAGCCCUAAACGAUGGAUACUUG